UGUGCAGUCACUACUACUGCUGCACAAAAUCAUGUUGGAGGAGAUGACAGGAGAAAGCAGUUGCAUCUAAAAAAGUUAGCAUGCCAGUGUGGGAGUUUUUUGGAUUAAAAAAGGCGGGAUGUUAGACACCCAGUCUGCAGGAAGUGCCGAUUAACGGUAACACAACAUGGGAGAACCAAUGGCUUUUGCCAUUAAUGAUGUCAAACCUGCUGCAAUGUUUAAAGCUCAGAGCACAGUGAUGGGGAAGAGAGAGCAGCAGCCGUCCUGCUGAUUCAGGGCACUGGCUGGAACCAUGAGAGGGCUCCUGGUGGACGUGAGCACUGAGGGGAAGUCUUUGAGGU